GACGGAAGGUGCAAGCGUUGCUCGGAAUCACUGGGCGUAAAGGGUGCGUAGGCGGCCGUGCAAGUCUGGCGUGAAAGCCCCGGGCUCAGCCCGGGAAGUGCGCUCGAAACUGCGCGGCUCGAGUGCCGGAGGGGAGAGUGGAAUUCCUGGUGUAGCGGUGAAAUGCGUAGAUAUCAGGAGGAACACCGGUGGCGAAGGCGGUUCUCUGGGCCUUACCUGACGCUGAGGAGCGAAAGCGUGGGGAGCAAACAGG
rnacentral:rRNA from 1 species